UUUUUUUUUAAAGCAAGAGUUAAACAUAUCCUUGAGGAGAAGUCAACAAUUUCUUUCAUUGGCAAGUCCUCUCUUCCUAAACUGUUCAUCUCCAUUCUAUUCUGGACAAUCUAUUAAUUUGAAGAGUGGGACAGAGCUGUUGACAUCAUUACUAUAAAACCAGCAGAUUUCUGGCAUUUGAUGGCCACUGGGCCUGUAACACCAUGGACAAGGUUGCCCAAAGGGCCCUGAGUGCUCAGUGGCUGAGAUGUUCCAGCUGCAAGUGGAAAGGAAUUAUCCUUCAGGAUGGAGUAAGCUGCCCAAGCUGGGAAAUACUGCUCACCAUACUGGGAGCACAACAGGUAAGGAUGGGAUGCCACUGAGGGAGAAGACAAACAGGGAGAAGAUGUGAAACCACUUCCCAGUGUAGACAGAGGCAGGGGUGACUCCCAUCUCCACCAGCUCACCUUGCUCUCGGGCAGGAGCAAUGAAUGUGUGUGGUGCUACGGUCCCAAAAGCCAUUUAGGAGGAGUUUCCCUUUGAUUGUAUCAAUACCAGUGACAGCACAGAGGGAUGAGGAGGCAGCAGAGCACUGCUCCCCCGAGUUGGACCAGAUUUCCAUGUGCAUCGAUUUUCUUUAGCACCUGAACAGAAGAUGAUGUUGCCUCUUCGAUGGGAGAAUGACUCCCAGGCCAACGACGGUUGCAUGAGCUUGAAACUUUAGGUGGUCUGACCACUGCAGGGCUGAAACCCCACAUGCUUGGCUCUUGUCUGACCAUUUGAGACACUUGGAGCAGGCUGUGCACUGUGACAGCCCAUCUCUGUGGGCCACAGAGGUUUUCUUGGAGACUGGGAACUUCAAGAUCCAGCAGAACCUGCAGCAAGCUCUGUCACC